UACGUAGGGUGCGAGCGUUAAUCGGAAUUACUGGGCGUAAAGGGCGCGUAGGCGGCCAUGCGUGUCUUCCGUGAAAUCCCUCGGCUUAACUGAGGACGUGCGGAAGAAACUGCAAGGCUCGAGUCCGGGAGAGGGGGGUGGAAUUCCCAGUGUAGCGGUGAAAUGCGCAGAUAUUAGGAAGAACACCGGUGGCGAAGGCGGCCCCCUGGACCGGUACUGACGCUGAGGCGCGAAAGCGUGGGUAGCAAACGGG
rnacentral:rRNA from 1 species